AAAUUAACUUAACCACGUAUAAAAUAAACCAUUCUAAUUAUUCUAGUAAAGGCGAUUGAAAGACUUAUUGGAGCUAUAGCAACAGUACCGCAAGGGAAAGGUGAAAUAUAAAUGAAAAAUUUUAAAGCAACUAAAAGUAAAGAUUACCCCUUGUACCUUUCGCAUCAUGGUUUAGCUAGUUUAACCAAGCAAAAUGAAUUUAAGUUUGACUUCCCGAAACUAAGUGAGCUACUUCAGGGCAGCUAAAGAGCAAACCCAUCUCUGUAGCAAAAGAGUGGGAUGACCCCCAAGUAGCGGUGACAAGCCUAACGAACUUAGUGAUAGCUGGUUACUCAAGAAAAGGAUGUAAGUCCAACCUGAACAAAAAGACAUGCCCUAAAGCAAAUGCUUAAUAUUCAGAGCAAUUCAAAUAAGGUACAGCCUAUUUGAAACAGGAUACAACCUUCAUUACUGGAUAAAACUAACUGUUUGCACAACCAAGUAGGCCUAACAGCAGCCACCUUUUAAAUAGCGUCAAAGCUUAAUUGUCUUAAUUUUUAAUCUCAACAUUAUUAUCUUAAUCCUCUCUCAGUACUGAGUAAUUCUAUAAAAAAUAUAGAAAUUUUUAUGCUAAAACUAGUAACAAGAAGCCAAACCUUCUCUUAAAUGUAAGUGUAAAUCAGAAUGGAUAAACCACUGAUAAUUAACACCCUUGAGCCCUAAGUAGAAACUAACCAAGAAAACUCUAUUACCACUAAUGUUAAACUUACACAAGAACAUUCAAAGAAAGAUUUAAAGAAAAAGAAGGAACUCGGCAAACCCUAACCUCGCCUGUUUACCAAAAACAUCGCCUCUUGAACUAUUAUAAGAGGUCCAGCCUGCCCAGUGAUCUUAUUCAACGGCCGCGGUAUCCUAACCGUGCGAAGGUAGCGUAAUCACUUGUCCUCCAAAUAAGGACUUGAAUGAACGGCUCCACGAAGGUUAAACUGUCUCCUUUUUUUAAUCAGUUAACCUAAUCUCCCCGUGAAGAAGCGGGGAUACUCCUAUAAGACGAGAAGACCCUAUGGAGCUUAAAACAAUACAGCAUUUGCUUUUAACACAAAUAUUUCAGAAUACAAACUAUAGUAAGCAAUAUGACUAUUAGUUUUCGGUUGGGGUGACCACGGAGCACAACAUAACCUCCAUGCUGAAUGAAUUUUAUUCUAAACCAAGAACCACCAUUCUAAGCAUCAACACACUGACAUCAAUUGACCCAAUACUAUUGAGCAACGAACCAAGUUACCCUAGGGAUAACAGCGCAAUCCGCUUCAAGAGCCCCUAUCGACAAGCGGG
rnacentral:rRNA from 1 species